rnacentral:rRNA from 1 species
UACGUAGGGUGCGAGCGUUGUCCGGAAUUACUGGGCGUAAAGCGUGCGCAGGCGGUUUUGUAAGUCUGUCGUGAAAUCCCCGGGCUCAACCUGGGAAUGGCGAUGGAGACUGCAAGGCUAGAGUUUGGCAGAGGGGGGUAGAAUUCCACGUGUAGCAGUGAAAUGCGUAGAUAUGUGGAGGAACACCGAUGGCGAAGGCAGCCCCCCUGGGUCAAAACUGACGCUCAUGCACGAAAGCGUGGGGAGCAAACAGG